UCGCUUGUCUCAAAGAUUAAGCCAUGCACGUCUAAGUACUCGCCUUGUCUUUUAAAGUGAAACCGCGAAUGGCUCAUUAAAUCAGUUAUGGUUCACUAGAUCGUACCUCAUCCUACUCGGAUAACUGUGGUAAUUCUAGAGCUAAUACAUGCAACUAGGCCCUGCCCGGCCGCUCUCACGGGCGGUCGGAAAGGGCGCCAUUAUCAGCCCAAAACCGACCGGGUCGCCCCGUCCGCGGGGCUCCCGUCCUUAUACCCUUUGACGACUCUGGAUAACCUUCUAGCGGAUCGCCGGUAAAACUAGGUCGGCCGGGCGGCGACGUCCGCGUCCGACCUACGGCGACUAGUCUUUCGAAUGUCUGCCUUAUCAACUGUCGACGGUAGGUUAGACGCCUACCGUGGUCGUAACGGGUGACGGGGAAUCAGGGUUCGAUUCCGGAGAGGGAGCCUGAGAAACGGCUACCACAUCCAAGGAAGGCAGCAGGCACGCAAAUUACCCAAUCCCUGCACGGGGAGGUAGUGACGAAAAAUAACGAUACGGGACUCUUAACGAGGCCUCGUAAUCGGAAUGAGUCCGCUCUAAAUCCUUUAACGAGGAUCUAUCGGAGGGCAAGUCUGGUGCCAGCAGCCGCGGUAAUUCCAGCUCCGAUAGCGUAUAUUAAAGUUGCUGCGGUUAAAAAGCUCGUAGUUGGAUUUGGGUUUUCGGGCCGGCGGGCCGCCGCCUUCGAGCGGCGCGUUUCCCGCCGCGCCCCCGGAACCGCACGGUCGCAGAGGCCCCCGCGGUGCUCUUGAGUGAGUGUCCGCGGUCUCGGGUCGCCGAACGUUUACUUUGAAAAAAUUAGAGUGCUCCAGGCAGGCCGGUAAAGCGUUUUUAAACCCGCGCCUGAAUAGUCACGCAUGGAAUAAUGAAAGAGGACCGGUGGUCCUAUUUUGUUGGUUUUCGGGAUUUUCCGCCGUCAUGAUUAAGAGGGACGGCCGGGGGCAUUCGUACCGCGGCGCGAGAGGUGAAAUUCUAGGACCGUCGCGAGACGAACCGUUGCGAAAGCAUUUGCCAAGAAUGUUUUCCUUAAUCAAGAACGAAAGUCAGAGGUUCGAAGGCGAUCAGAUACCGCCCUAGUUCUGACCGUAAACGAUGCCACCUGACGAUCCGCCAGGGUUACUACCAUGACUCGGCGGGCAGCCCCCGGGAAACCCAAGCCUUCGGGUUCCGGGGGAAGUAUGGUUGCAAAGCUGAAACUUAAAGGAAUUGACGGAAGGGCACCACCAGGAGUGGAGCCUGCGGCUUAAUUUGACUCAACACGGGGAACCUCACCCGGCCCGGACACCGCGAGGAUUGACAGAUUGAGAGCUCUUUCUCGAUUCGGUGGGUGGUGGUGCAUGGCCGUUCUUAGUUGGUGGAGCGAUUUGUCUGGUUAAUUCCGAUAACGAACGAGACUCUAGCCGGUUAAGUAGCCCGAGCGGUUUUUGAUCUUUGCCGUCCGUCCCCGGUCCUCGUCGACGGCCCAACCGACCGUGUGUGCUCGCCGGCGCCUUCGCGGCGUCGCUGUGGGUGCGUGCGGAAGGGGAAGGCUGCUCGAGACCGGGGCGGAGCAUAACCGAAGGCCGCCGGCUUUUAAGGAAGCUUCUUAGAGGGACGAGCGGCGUUCAGCCGCGCGAGAUUGAGCGAUAACAGGUCUGUGAUGCCCUUAGAUGUCCGGGGCCGCACGCGCGCUACACUGAAGGGCUCAGCGUGCUCGUUUCUCCCGAGCCGACAGGCUCGGGGAACCCGUUGAAACCCUUUCGUGCUAGGGACAGGGACUUGCAAUUGUGUCCCUCCAACGAGGAAUUCCCAGUAAGCGCGAGUCAUCAGCUCGCGUUGAUUACGUCCCUGCCCUUUGUACACACCGCCCGUCGCUACUACCGAUUGAACGAUUUAGUGAGGUCUUCGGACCGGUGGUCGUUCCGAGCGGUCCUUCCGGGGAUCGUGCGGGGUCGGCCGGCCGGGAAGAUGCCCGAACUUGAUCGUUUAGAGGAAGA
rnacentral:rRNA from 1 species